rnacentral:rRNA from 1 species
UACGUAGGGUGCGAGCGUUAAUCGGAAUUACUGGGCGUAAAGCGUGCGCAGGCGGUUCGCCAAGUCAGGUGUGAAAUCCCCGGGCUUAACCUGGGAAUUGCGCUUGAAACUAGCGGGCUUGAGUGUGGCAGAGGGGGGUGGAAUUCCACGUGUAGCAGUGAAAUGCGUAGAUAUGCGGAGGAACACCGAUGGCGAAGGCAAUCCCCUGGGCCUGUACUGACGCUCAUGCACGAAAGCGUGGGAAGCAAACAGG